UCAAUUUGACUCAACACGGGAAACCUGACCCGGCCCGGACACAGACCGGAUUGACAGAUGGAUAGCUCUUUCUCGAGUCCGUGGGUGGUGGUGCAUGGCUAUUCUUGGUUGGUGGAGCGAUUUGUCUGGUUAAUUCCGAUAACAAACGAGACUCUGGCAUGCUAACUGGUUACACCCCCCCCCCCCAGCGGUCGGCGUCCAAAAUAAAUAAAUAAAAAUAAACUGAAUCAACAUUUGAAGUCACUGGUGAAAGGAUUAACAGCUCCCCCAAGGCAGAGUCUGAUUUGUUUCCCUUUGUAUCUCUGAUCC
rnacentral:ncRNA from 1 species